rfam:Schistosoma rodhaini strain Burundi genome assembly, scaffold: SROB_scaffold0002428
AUCCAACUGACGAGUCCCAAAUAGGACGAAACGCGAGUCAAACUGCAU